UACGGAGGGUGCAAGCGUUAUCCGGAUUCACUGGGUUUAAAGGGUGCGUAGGUGGGGUGGUAAGUCAGUGGUGAAAUCUCCGAGCUUAACUUGGAAACUGCCAUUGAUACUAUCAUUCUUGAAUAUUGUGGAGGUCAGCGGAAUAUGUCAUGUAGCGGUGAAAUGCAUAGAUAUGUCACAGAACACCGAUUGCGAAGGCAGCUUACUAUGGUGUCAUUGACGCUGAGGCACGAAAGCGUGGGGAUCAAACAGG
rnacentral:rRNA from 1 species